UUUUUGUUGGCAGAAAAAUGUAUUAAAUUUAGAAUUUAAAAAUAAGUAGAUCUUACAAUAAA
rnacentral:tRNA from 1 species